CUGUCUAUAUCUGGUUCUAUUAUUGGCAAAUUUGUGCCUUCGAGAUUGCUGCGAGUGUUUGUGUUCCCGAGCUGAAAAUUUAGAUUAUUACCAUGUUUGGUCUCCUGAAUAUAAAUCAUGAUUCUUUGCAUCUCAAUUGCAGACCAGCAGACCUUUCCGUCCUCAUAUUCCCCGGAUUCGUUUUCUGCGAUCGAGCGCCCGAGCGGUUGCAUCUCGACGGCAGUUCCCUUUACAACCGAGUUAGCUUUAUACUAUGAGCAGUGAGCAAGUCAUGUAUAAAGCAAAAA